ensembl:misc_RNA 7SK 7SK RNA
AGAUGUGAGGGUGAUAAGACUAUGACAUAUCUUACCCCAUAGAUUGAUCAACCAGAGUUGAUUUGUCUGAUCUAGCUAGCUAACUGGGUGUUCCCUUCCUCCUUCACCAUUCCUUCCUAAAAUUGUGUAUUCAAAGUGGACAAUCUUUCCUGAUAAACAAGGAAAAAAUUUUGACCAAGAGUAUACAAGGUUAUACGAGAACUGCCAAACAAGUUCUCACAAACACCCUUCAAGUUGACCCAUAAAAUUAAACAUCAUAUAAAUCACAGUUUUCCCUUUGGCAUCAUGAAGACUG